rnacentral:rRNA from 1 species
CGUAGGUGGCAAGCGUUGUCCGGAUUUAUUGGGUUUAAAGGGUGCGUAGGCGGCUUUGUAAGUCAGUGGUGAAAUACUCCAGCUCAACUGGAGAGGUGCCAUUGAUACUGCAGAGCUAGAGUACUGAUGAGGUAGGCGGAAUGGACGGUGUAGCGGUGAAAUGCUUAGAUAUCGUCCAGAACACCGAUAGCGAAGGCAGCUUACUAAAGAGUAACUGACGCUGAGGCACGAAAGUGUGGGGAUCAAACAGGAUUAGAUACCCUGGUAGUCCACACUGUAAACGUUGAUCACUAGAUGUUGGCGAUACACUGCCAGCGUUCCAGCAAAAGCGAUAAGUGAUCCACCUGGGGAUACGCCCGCAAGGGUG